GCUGGGAUAGCUCAGUUGGUAAAGCAUGGGACUCUUAAUCUCAGGGUCAGAAGUUCGAGUCCUAUGCUGGGUA